UACGUAGGGUGCGAGCGUUAAUCGGAAUUACUGGGCGUAAAGCGUGCGCAGGCGGUUUUGUAAGCCAGAUGUGAAAUCCCCGGGCUUAACCUGGGAAUGGCAUUUGGGACUGCAAGGCUCGAGUGCGGCAGAGGAGACUGGAAUUCCUGGUGUAGCAGUGAAAUGCGUAGAUAUGUGGAGGAACACCGAUGGCGAAGGCAGCCCCCUGGGUCGACACUGACGCUCAUGCACAAAAGCGUGGGGAGCAAACAGG
rnacentral:rRNA from 1 species